CCUACUUCUCUUUUAGACUGAUUCAAUCUCCUGUAGCCUAGGGUGGCCCUGAACUCCUGAUCUUCCUACUUCCUUCUCCCAAGUGCUGGGAUUAAAGCUGUGUGCCACCACAACCUGGCCUUUAUGGUUAACCAGUGGCUAGCUCCACUCUCUGAUCUCCAGGCAAGCUUUAUUUGUCAGAACACAAACAAAAUAUCAUACAAAUUUCCACUUUUUUUGUUUAAAU